UUCCUUUUCCUUUAUUUUCUUCUCCUUAUCGAUACAUCGAUUCCUCCGCUUCUCUUCCCCUCAUUUUUUUCAUCUCUUCUGAUUCUAAAUUUGGAUAUGCAAAACUAAACCCAAUUUUUGAGAAAUUAAAACCCAUUUCUCCUAAACCCUUAUCUCAUAUCAAAACUAAAUCAAACUCAAUCUUUUAAUAAAUCAAAUCCUAGAAAUCUGGCGUGCGUUUUGGUUCGUUUUAAGGAUUUGGAUGUUUGGGUAUCCAUCAACAGCUGAAAUAAUCACCAGUUUGGGUGCCCUGGAGCAUUUUCUAAUCAAAAGGAAAAUAAUUGGACCUUCUUGGUUAUCAGUUUCUAAGAAUACCAUCCCUCAAGAAUCUCCGAAGGGAAGCUGGUGUAUAUCCGAGGUUAUUGUUGAUAGUCCGAAGGACGUGAGGAUUUCAUCUUCCUCAAAAUUCACUACGGAGAUUCCUCCAACAGUUGUUACGUCAAUAAAUUUGAAAACUGGUGUAUUCGGAUCAGUCAUGCUAACUAUAAGAUUUAUUUUGUCUUUGUUCAUGGCCUCAACGGAGAAGUACGGUUUAGCAGUGACUAUUUGUAGGAACAACUGAGGAACUACAGGUUUCUUUCGUGUAAAUAUUGACAGGUCGUGGAAAAGGUGUUUGUUUUGUUGCUUGCCGAAUUAUGGUAAAGGUGUUUGCUUUUCCCAGGCGGGGAAAUGUUGAACGAGGAAAUAGAAAUGAAAGAGGAUAUCAAACUUACGAGUACAGGGUGGGGAUAUAUGAGAAUGAUAAAUCUACAGGGCAGAAAGGUAGAGUUGUGUUGCAUACUGGUUUCUGAAAUUUUAUGUUGCUUCAUGUUUGUUCCUUCACAUGAUUCCGCUUUUGGAUCUCCUCGUGAAACGAAGAAAAUGAAACAAUACAAGGAACCCUGGGUAAGUACUAGAUCUUAUGGUGUUCUUACUGAUUACAUAGAAUUCUACUGGUUCUGGUAAUUAAGCCUCUGUAUAUUAUUCAUUCUUUUUUUCAUUUUAACCUGUAUUCUCAUGAACUCGCUGAAGCUUUUAAAUAUUUGAGGAAAUUAUUGAAAGUUUGGUUGGAACGAAACCUAAAAGGUAGCUACUCUUAAGAUGGAUAAGCAGUCUGAAAUUUUGUAGAGGAAACCUUGUAAACCUGUGUACCUAAAAACUUGCUUAUAUAAGAUUGUGCUUGGUUUUGUAGAAGGUGGAAGGGAUGGUGAUAGUUUGGGUAGGGUGGGAUGGGAAUUUGUAUAGGUGUACGUGGAGGAGGUGAUAGUGAAGGUGGCAGUGGUGAAUUUUAGUAGUGUGGGGAGGGUACUGGUGAUGAUUAGUGCUCAUCGGAUUGAUAUGGAAUUUCUGCGGAAAGCGUCAAAUGGAGAUCCUCAUAGUCCGACGUCGUUGAAUUGUAUUGAUUUGUCAGGUCAAUUGAAUGCUUACCAACAGGAUACAUUGGAAGUUGGAGAGGUCCAGGGGGUGGAUGCACUGCCAGACUUCCCCUGCCUGAAGCCACCCCCAAAAUUACUGAGAAUCAAAUUUGAAGUAGUAAAAGUUGUCCCAGAACUCUCAAGCCCGAGUGAAAAUAUUGUCAAAGCCAGGCUGAAGCAAAGAAGUAUCUACUAGUUGCUGUGUUUCAUUUGGUAAAUUUCAACCUCAUUAUGCAGAAACGUUUACUGUGGCUUUAGGAUUUAUGAGAUCAUUUGGUGCUUCCUUAUUAUGUAGACUUGGCCUAUCCGUACUCCAAGGCCCGUUUACGUGAUGUCGCUGAUACACCUCUUCUAACUGGGCAGUUCAACUUAUCUCUUGCUUGCUCAUGCCUACUGUUAGACUGUCAUUGUGCCAUGUGCAGAAAAAGAAUCGAUGUACCUUGUUUUCUUAUGAACUAAUUCAUAUUUUCAAAUUCAGAAACUUUGAUUUGUGACUGUAUUUAUCUUUGAAUCAACCAAAUCAUUAUAUGCUUUAUUAUAGUUCAUUGGUUACAUGCUA